rnacentral:rRNA from 1 species
CCUACGGGUGGCAGCAGUGGGGAAUUUUGCGCAAUGCUCGUAAGAGUGACGCAGCGACGCCGCGUGAAUGACGAAGGCCUUCGGGUCGGAAAGUUCUUUCGACAGGGAAGAAAAUGCCUAUAAGUAACUGUGUAUGUAUUGACGGUACCUGUAUAAGCAGCCGCGGCGAAAUCCGUGCCAGCAGCCGCGGUAAUACGGAGGGGGCGAGCGUUGUUCGGAGGGACUGGGCGUAAAGAGCACGUAGGCGGUGUUGUAAGUCAUUAGUCAAAGACUAGAGCUCAACUUUAGUAAGGCUAGUGAUACUAUAAUACUAGAGUAUCAGAGAGGAUUGCAGAAUUCCUGGUGUAGCGGUGAAAUGCGUAGAUAUCAGGAGGAAUACCGUUAGCGAAGGCGGCAAUCUGGCUGGAAACUGACGCUGAGGUGCGAAAGCGUGGGUAGCAAACAGGAUUAGAUACCCGGGUAGUC